UCAUCUCCUGGCACUUUCUACUCUGAAGUAGUGAUUGCACGUAUACAAAUAUAUUUUUGCUGGAUUUUAGGUGCAUAGGAAGAUGACCAUAGGAAAGAUUCAACCGACAAUUUUAAUAUCGGGUCAUAUGAAUAGACCUUCUUUUUAUGGGAAUAUCAUAUAGUAAGCUAAAUAAAUUACAGUGAUGCCAGGGAUAAGUAAUCCAACUGCUAGUUAAAUUUAUGGACACGUCUUCUAUUCAAUCCCAACAUUUAAAAUACUAUUGUGUCACGUUUUAACUUUGCAAUUAUUUAUCUUGUUCUCAUGCAGAACUUUUUUGCAUCUUUGGUUCGGAGAUUUAGAGGACCUUCUGAGGGGCACCGAAGCACCUAUUCUCGCGUCAACUUCUGAGCAGUUACAAGCUUACUCCGGGAUAUAUAAUUUUUGCAAUAUCUCAGUUUUUCUGUGAAGAAUCUGCAGAAGACUGCAAUUAUAGUUUUGUAGUACCUGGGCAGUGGCCUGCAGUUUAGCUUGAUUAGUGAUCACUUCAUUGAAGUAGAUUCUUGAAGUCCAUAGCAGAGUACCACCUAUUGGCUAUUGUACACUGCCAUAGAAAGGCACUCUUGCUCUCCUUCAUUUCCUAAUCAAAUUGAUCAAUGAUGAAAUGAUUUUAUUAGGCCAAGUAGAAGAAUCAACGACAAUAGAUUGUAAUCACCGUUAAAAAUGCUGACUAGAAAAUGUGUUACCCAUUUUUUAUUCCGACUUUUAAUGUAUUUCUUGUAGACAUUCUUUCAGCGUUGCUCAAAAGCUCAGACUUACAAUUUCUGUUUCCCCUUUUCUGAUAAGCCUGGCCUGCAAGUUUAGUGCUUUCCCUGCCUGAUUUGCAUAUCGUGUAGUAUCUGUGAUUUGAGAACUCAACGGUUGAGUUUCAUGGGGGCACUAUGAUGUUUCUCUUCACAAUAAACAAAUUCUACUUCUAUCACAAUCUGUAGAUGGUGCCCGAAGACUGAAAAGCAUGCACCGAGAUAAAAUCUCCUGCUUGAGGGCCAAAAAGAAGAAUGAAAUCUAGAAUCAGCCAGUGAAGCAGCAUAACUUCUGCAGCAGCAGUUUCCCUUUCCUUGAGCCAAUUAGUUUUGGCCUUGGUUUACUACAUAUAGGCACAUCGACAUUGCAACCUAUGUGCAUAAAACUUGCAAUGUGAAAAAGUUAUUUAUUGUGUUUAAGGAUUCAAGUUUUAUUUUUAGGUUGUAAUUGCUAUGCUAUUAACACUAACUGCGAACUGACUGGUACCAGAAAUAUAUAAGCUUACCUAAUGAGUUCAAACCAUCAAAUGGCUCUGCAUCUUUUUUGACAUCAAUUGCCGUAAACUGUGAAAGCAAGGAACUAGUGUAUCAAGUUGGGUUUCGUAAAAUUUAAUCAUAGUAAAUCAACACUCAGGCAACAAGUUUUGGUAUGAAAUUAAAAUAAAG
rnacentral:lncRNA from 1 species